rnacentral:RNase_MRP_RNA from 11 species
AAGCACGGCUUCGCAGCGCACAGACGGGGAGCUCGCUCCUUCCUUGAAGCUGCGGGGAAAGUCCCCGUGCCCUUGGGCAGAGAGUGCCGGCGGGAGACCGCGA